rnacentral:rRNA from 1 species
GAUGAACGCUGGCGGCGUGCCUAAUACAUGCAAGUCGAGCGAACAGACGAGGCGUUUGCUUCUCUGACGUUAGCGGCGGGCGGGUGAGUCACACGUGGAUACCCUACCUAUAAGACUGGGAUAACUUCGGGAAACCGGAUCUAAUACCGGAUAAUAUAUUGAACCGCAUGGUUCAAUAGAGAAAGACGGUUUUGCUGUCACUUAUAGAUGGAUCCUCGCCGCAUUAGCUAGUUGGUAAGGAAACGGCUUACCAAGGCGACGAUGCGUAGCUGAGCUGAGAGGGUGAACGGGCGCAAUGGAACUGAGACACGGUCCAGAGGCCGACGGGAGGCAGCAGUGGGGAAUAGUGGACAAUGGGGGAAAGCCUGACGCAGCAAUGCCGCGUGUGUGAAGAAGGUCUUCGGAUUGUAAAGCACUUUUAGUGGGGAGGAAGGGCAGUAAGUUAAUACCUUGCUGUUUUGACGGUACCAACAGAAUAAGCAGCGGCUAACUUCGUG